rnacentral:tRNA from 1 species
UCCAGGGUAGCCUAGUGGACAUGGCAUCUGCCCGGUAAGCGGAACAUUGUGGGUUCGAUUUCCUUCCCUGGAC